rnacentral:rRNA from 1 species
AGUGGCGGACGGGUGAGUAACGCGUGAGAAUCUGCCUUGGGGUCGGGGACAACCACUGGAAACGGUGGCUAAUACCGGAUAAGCCGAUUGGUGAAAGAUUUAUUGCCCGAAGAGGAGCUCGCGUCUGAUUAGCUAGUUGGUGAGGUAAGAGCUCACCAAGGCAGCGAUCAGUAGCUGGUCUGAGAGGACGAUCAGCCACACUGGGACUGAGACACGGCCCAGACUCCUACAGGAGGCAGCAGUGGGGAAUUUUCCGCAAUGGGCGAAAGCCUGACGGAGCAAGACCGCGUGAGGGAGGAAGGCUCUUGGGUUGUAAACCUCUUUUCUCAGGGAAGAAGCUCUGACGGUACCUGAGGAAUCAGCCUCGGCUAACUCCGUGCCAGCAGCCGCGGUAAUACGGAGGAGGCAAGCGUUAUCCGGAAUUAUUGGGCGUAAAGCGUCCGCAGGUGGCGAUUCAAGUCUGCUGUCAAAGCACGGGGCUUAACUCCGUAAAGGCAGUGGAAACUGAAUAGCUAGAGUGCCGUAGGGGUAGAGGGAAUUCCCGGUGUAGCGGUGAAAUGCGUAGAGAUCGGGAAGAACAUCGGUGGCGAAAGCGCUCUACUGGACGGCAACUGACACUCAGGGACGAAAGCUAGGGGAGCGAAUGGGAUUAGAUACCCC